GUAUGGAAGCUGCAGGGGAUUGAUAGGGGCAUUCCUGGGCCCCGAUGCCAGAUGAAAAAUCUCUCCAGUGCCAGGAAGCAUUCCUGGGGUCCUUGAAAUUACCACUCUGGUUGUGGAACCCAGAUCUUUUGGUUUGUGCCCAAGUGUCCUCUAUGGGAGAGUCCUUCCCUUCUUCCAAGUAGCACACUAGCACCGCCUCCUCCCCCUGUUUCUCACCUCACUUUUACUUCUCUUCUGAGCUGAUAUAUUGUGCCUGGCAUCGUACGCUUAUUGAUUUGUAACCACACUGCAUUGGAUUGCCACCUCCCCCAACGCAGAGAAGUUGGCUGUUGCAUUGCUGCUGUGUCCUCAGCACCAGAGCAGCGCCCAGUGUGCAGGAGAAGCUGCAUUUAUAUCUUUUUUUCCACUGUGCCCAGUGGAAUUCUUUACCAAUUCUAGGCAAACCUAUGACCUCCGCCACUUGGGGACUUCUGGUGUUCCAGCAUAAGUGCAAAUUGGCUCCCCAGAAGCCUGAGUUACGGCUGCUCAGAUCAUGCCCUUGGGAGUCACCCCCGCUGUUGCCAACACAGCCGGAAGGAGCUCGCCUCCUCUACGGGCACAGCCCUUCUUGGCUGCCCCUCAUCUUAGGUACCUUGGAGAAAGGCCCUGGUGGAUUCAUUAAUAUUCUGGACAAAACUCACCCAUUGGAGGAGGAUUCCAGUUUGCUGAUGCUCUGCAUGGGCCGUGAAGAUCUUCAUUAGCCGCUAGAGCUCUUACCUGCAACUGGUAUUUUGGAGUAAUUUUCUGGGCCCCCCGAAGCCCCUGAAUGAUUUGCAUGACUCCCUGAAGUUCUGCUGAGAAUUUUUCACCUUUUGGAUUUACUAUUAAGCAAAAUUCUUAAAAAAAAAAAAAAAGAUUGUAUUUAUUUAUUCAUGAGAGACACACACACAGAGAGAGAGGCAGAGACAUAAGCAGAGGGAGAAGCAGGCUCUUUGCCAGGAGACUCUCCUUGCUUUGCCUACAAUCUGUGGUCAUGAGAAGCAUGUGUAGAGGGACACUAAAAAGGACCCAGGCU
rnacentral:lncRNA from 12 species